GACGAACGCUGGCGGCGUGCUUAACACAUGCAAGUCGAACGGAAAGGCCCUGCUUUUGUGGGGUGCUCGAGUGGCGAACGGGUGAGUAACACAUGAGUAACCUGCCCUUGACUUUGGGAUAACUUCAGGAAACUGGGGCUAAUACCGGAUAGGAGCUCCUGCUGCAUGGUGGGGGUUGGAAAGUUUCGGCGGUUGGGGAUGGACUCGCGGCUUAUCAGCUUGUUGGUGGGGUAGUGGCUUACCAAGGCUUUGACGGGUAGCCGGCCUGGGAGGGUGACCGGCCACAUUGGGACUGAGAUACGGCCCAGACUCCUACGGGAGGCAGCAGUGGGGAAUAUUGCACAAUGGGCGGAAGCCUGAUGCAGCAACGCCGCGUGCGGGAUGACGGCCUUCGGGUUGUAAACCGCUUUCGCCUGUGACGAAGCGUGAGUGACGGUAAUGGGUAAAGAAGCACCGGCUAACUACGUG
rnacentral:rRNA from 1 species